rnacentral:misc_RNA from 1 species
GAAAUGCGAUAAGUAAUGUGAAUUGCAGAAUUCAGUGAAUCAUCGAAUCUUUGAACGCCACUUGCGCUCCUUGGUAUUCCUUGGAGCAUGCCUGUUUGAGUAUCAUGAAAUCUUCAAAGUAAAUCUUUUGUUAACUCAAUUGGUUUCUACUUUGGUAUUGGAGGUCUUUGCAGCUUCACACCUGCUCCUCUUUGUUCAUUAGCUGGAUCUCAGUGUUAUGCUUGGUUCCACUCGGCGUGAUAAGUUAUCUAUCGCUGAGGACACUGUAAAAGGUGGCCAAGGUAAAUGCAGAUGAACCGCUUCUAAUAGUCCAUUGACUUGGACAAUACUUUUAUGAUCUGAUCUCAAAUCAGGUAGGACUACCCGCUGAACUUAAGC